GGGAAUUGAAAAUUCUGUGGACAGUUCUAGUGGGUCAGGAAGACUUGCGAACCCUCGUUCCCCUGCUCUCGGCGGCGUCUUGUGCGGCAACGGCAGAGGAGCGGCUAGAGUUCCUGUUGGAUCCCGUCGACCGGUUUCCCUUGAGCGACUAAUCAGCUGCUACGGUGGCUGAUUUGAAUGUCGGGUCCGGGUGCGGGCAAGCUGAGGGUGCCGGGAGCCCGGCGAGGGUUGGAGGAGAGGGGCGAUGAAGAAAUAAUGUAUCUACAAUCAGGUCGGCACAGUCGACUAACAGGAAGAAUCCUGAAGCACGCGGCUGACUAAAAGUGGAUGCAGACAUAUGUGCGUGGUUGUGGGUGAUGGUGGUAUAUGCACUGAAAAAUAGAAAAUCUGAAGCGACUCCUUACAUAAUUCGAGGUUGAGGCUCAGUAUUGCACCACCUGACAGGGCACCCUGCGCAUCGAGGAUUGAGUUUUGAUUCACUUGCUGAAUGUGUGUGUUGCAGGGGAAGCCGGAAGCGGAGAAUAGCAGUUCGUGCGGUACAUACAGAAGAAUGCGAAGGAGAGCCUGAGCCCUCUGUACACGAAGUGAAAGUGCAAACCACAUGUUGAAGGGUUAUAUGCCACCUGCUAUCCCGAUGCACUUUUUUGUGAGGCAGUAUAUGAGGCUCCAGAUUGAACGUGAGAGGGAGGAAAGCUACGAAGAGUAGAGGACUAAUUGUCAGAAAAACUGAUGUGUCUGUUCGUUGUUCACCGUUGCUGAUUAAUUUUCAAUUUUUCAUUGUCAGUAAAACUGAUGUGUGUUGGUGGUGGCAGGGAGGUGUCGUGAGGAGAACAAAUCUAGCAAUAGAGCAGCAUGCAAGCAAAGUGUGCACUCAUGCUAUGUUUUGGAGCCCCGUCCAAAGGUAGCCCUAGUUUGGAGGCCCAGGAAGGUAGUGUCGGGGCGUCCGUCAGCAUGAAUGCGCUUCAAGGACUAGCACCACUGGAGUAGCAGAGGGGUGUAGGGAGGCCGUCGAAGAGCCGGGGAGAAAUCACCACACGAGGCUCUGAGCAAGUGUACCAAGUUUUGCAGCAUCUGCCCCCGUGAAGGCCACAAUCGGACUUACAUGUCCUGAUCGUGGAGAUGCACCUAAACAGCCCCGCAAGCCCGGAAAGUGCAAGAACUAUUGAAUGGAAGGGCGACGCAGGAACACGUGCACACGCCCACUGGUUGGUGCACAGAUGUAGUCCAGAAGAUUUAAAAUUUCGUGUGUAAUGUGCGAUUCAAGGAUUUUCUGGUGUGUGCUGUGAGCCAUGCUCCAGGCUUGUUCCUCCGGUGCUUAUUAAUUUUAGUGUUGUUGUAUUGCAUAGUGCUGUACUGUAAGUCAGCAACUCAGCACAACUUCAGAAUUAUGAUAGAAAAAUGUUGGGCGUCCUAUCUACAUUUUCGAGGCUGUUGCAUUGUUGG